rnacentral:rRNA from 1 species
GACGAACGCUGGCGGCGUGCUUAACACAUGCAAGUCGAACGGAAAGGCCCUGCUUUUGUGGGGUGCUCGAGUGGCGAACGGGUGAGUAACACGUGAGUAACCUGCCCUUGACUUUGGGAUAACUUCAGGAAACUGGGGCUAAUACCGGCUAGGAGCUCCUGCUGCAUGGUGGGGGUUGGAAAGUUUCGGCGGUUGGGGAUGGACUCGCGGCUUAUCUGCUUGUGGGUGGGGUAGUGGCUUACCAAGGCUUUGCCGGGUAGCCGGCCUGAGAGGGUGACCGGCAACCUGGGGACGGAGCUACGGCCCAGACUCCUACGGGAGGCAGCAGUGGGGAAGAUUGCACAAUGGGCGGAAGCCUGAUGCAGCAACGCCGCGUGCGGGAUGACGGCCUUCGGGUUGUAAACCGCGUUCGCCUGUGACGAAGCGUGAGUGACGGUAAUGGGUAAAGAAGCACCGGCUAACUACGUG